CAGAUCUUGGCUGACCAUUUCUGGGCCCGAUUCAUUCGGGAUUACCUACCAAGCCUACAGCACAGAGGGAAAUGGCGGAGGGAAAUGGCCAGCCUGGAAACUGGCCAAGUAGUAAUGGUGGUGGACCCUCAGCUGCCUCGAGCCUCCUGGCCGGUGGGACGUAUCACUAAGACCAUGCCUGGGAUCGAUGGUCGCGUUAGAUCAGUAGAGAUCCAGGUAAAGAACCGAACAUAUAUUAGGCCAGUUGCUCGACUAAUUCCUCUCCCUGAGAUGACGGAGGACGGGGAGCAAUGAGCCUUUCUGAGGAGUGUGGAAUUUAACAAAUUUCCAGGGUGGCUGUAGAAAAGGCCCAUGGAGUUGGUGGAAUAAUCCUUUAAUUCAUGGCCACUUACUCAGCUGGGCCAGAGCGCUUUAAAUAGGUCAGGUGGCAAUGACCGACAGAUCUCAUCCACAUAAAAGGAGGAAAACGGCAUCGCCUGAUCUCGCUGCUUUCUCUUCCUUAACUCCGUCUGCUCCAGAAGUUCUGUGCGUCCAUGAAUCCACCACAGACUACUCAGUAAAUAUACCACUUUAUGGUUAAAGGAA